AAAUUUGUAAUAUGUUCGUUCUGCUAUCAGAUGAUAAUUUUUCUCUUUUAGGAUAUAACUAUUUUUGUUUCAAAUAUAUAUAUCAAAUAUCUUCAGUGAUAUAUA
rnacentral:sRNA from 1 species